rnacentral:rRNA from 1 species
AUUAGAUGAGCCUAUAUUAGAUUAGCUAGUUGGUGGAGUAAUAGCCUACCAAGGCAAUGAUCUAUAGCUGAUCUGAGAGGAUGAUCAGCCACACUGGAACUGAGAUACGGUCCAGACUCCUACGGGAGGCAGCAGUGGGGAAUAUUGGACAAUGGGCGAAAGCCUGAUCCAGCCAUGCCGCAUGAGUGAAGAAGGCCUUUGGGUUGUAAAGCUCUUUUAGUGAGGAAGAUAAUGACGGUACUCACAGAAGAAGUCCUGGCUAACUCCGUGCCAGCAGCCGCGGUAAUACGGAGAGGGCUAGCGUUAUUCGGAAUUAUUGGGCGUAAAGGGCGCGUAGGCUGAUUAAUAAGUUAAAAGUGAAAUCCCGAGGCUUAACCUUGGAAUUGCUUUUAAAACUAUUAAUCUAGAGAUUGAAAGAGGAUAGAGGAAUUCCUGAUGUAGAGGUAAAAUUCGUAAAUAUUAGGAGGAACACCAGUGGCGAAGGCGUCUAUCUGGUUCAAAUCUGACGCUGAAGCGCGAAGGCGUGGGGAGCAAACAGGAUUAGAUACCCUGGUAGUCCACGCUGUAAACGAUGAAUGUUAAAUAUGGGAAGUUUACUUUC